CACGCCAGUGGCAUCGCCGGGUAGCUAUGUUCGGAAGAGAUAACCGCUGAAAGCAUCUAAGCGGGAAACUCGCCUUAAGAUGAGAUAUCCCUGGGGACUAGAUCCCCUUGAAGGGUCGUUCGAGACCAGGACGUUGAUAGGUCAGGUGUGUAAGCGCAGUAAUGCGUUCAGCUAACUGAUACUAAUUGCCCGUAAGGCUUGAUCCUAUAACG
rnacentral:rRNA from 1 species